rnacentral:rRNA from 1 species
UACAGAGGGGGCAAGCGUUGUUCGGAAUUACUGGGCGUAAAGGGCGCGUAGGCGGCCUGCUAAGUCGAACGUGAAAUCCCCGGGCUCAACCCGGGAACUGCGUCCGAGACUGACAGGCUUGAAUCCGGGAGAGGGAUGUGGAAUUCCAGGUGUAGCGGUGAAAUGCGUAGAUAUCUGGAGGAACAUCGGUGGCGAAGGCGGCAUCCUGGACCGGCAUUGACGCUGAGGCGCGAAAGCUAGGGGAGCAAACGGG